rnacentral:rRNA from 1 species
GAUAAGCAUAUCAAUAAGCGGAGGAAAAGAAACCAACUGGGAUUGCCUUAGUAACGGCGAGUGAAGCGGCAAUAGCUCAAAUUUGAAAGCUGGCGUCUUUGGCGUCCGCGUUGUAAUUUGUAGAGGAUGCUUCGGCGAGGGCUCCGGUCUAAGUUCCCUGGAACGGGACGUCAUAGAGGGUGAGAAUCCCGUAUGUGAUCGGUUGCCUAAGCCAUGUGAAGCUCCUUCGACGAGUCGAGUUGUUUGGGAAUGCAGCUCUAAAUGGGAGGUAAAUUUCUUCUAAAGCUAAAUACCGGCCAGAGACCGAUAGCGCACAAGUAGAGUGAUCGAAAGAUGAAAAGCACUUUGGAAAGAGAGUUAAAAAGUACGUGAAAUUGUUGAAAGGGAAGCGCUUGCAACCAGACUCGUCCGCAGUUGCUCAGCCGGUCUCUUGACCGGCGUACUCUUCUGCGGCCGGGCCAGCAUCAGUUCGGGCGGCCGGAUAAAGGCCUCGGGAAUGUAGCACCCUUCGGGGUGUGUUAUAGCCCGGGGUGGAAUGCGGCCAGCCUGGACUGAGGAUCUCGCUUCGGCUAGGAUGCUGGCGUAAUGGUUGUAAGCGGCCCGUCUUGAAACACGGACCAAGGAGUCUAACAUCUAUGCGAGUGUUUGGGUGUCAAACCCAUGCGCGUAAUGAAAGUGAACGGAGGUGGGAACCCUCACGGGUGCACCAUCGACCGAUCCUGAUGUCUUCGGAUGGAUUUGAGUAUGAGCAUAGCUGUUGGGACCCGAAAGAUGGUGAACUAUGCCUGAAUAGGGUGAAGCCAGAGGAAACUCUGGUGGAGGCUCGCAGCGGUUCUGACGUGCAAAUCGAUCGUCAAAUUUGGGUAUAGGGGCGAAAGACUAAUCG